ACUCACCUUCUCUCCUCUCUUCUCUUGCAGUGCCAUUUGGCUCAUGGUUUGACCAUGUUCGCGGCUGGCUUCAGAUGAGAGGAAAAGAGAAUUUCCUAUUGAUAUUAUAUGAGGAGCUGCAUCAGGACAUCAGAGCCAGUGUGGAGAAGGUCAGCCAAUUCUUGGGCACGAAGCUAAGCCCAGAAGAACUGGACUCCGUCCUCAAGAAUGUAACCUUCCAGGCCAUAAAAGACAAUAAAAUGAGCAAUUUCUCUCUACUCCCUGAUGUCCUUAUGAUCAUAGCAAAGCGUGUUUUAUGAGAAAAGGAAUCAUUGGCGACUGGAAAAAUCACUUCACAGUGGCCCAGAGCGAAGCCUUCGAUAAAGUCUACCAGGAGAAGGUGGCCGGGCUCCCCCCAGGCCUCUUCCCGUGGGAAUAAUGGCCUCAUGUGUCUGAAUUGGGGUGCAAAGGCUGAAUUUCCUGAGGUUCUUGUGUACCCAACAAAGCAAACUCUACAUGAUGAAUGAUAUUUAGGAAAUAGGUGGGUCCAGGUAGAACCCCAAGAGAUGCGAUUUCUAGAACCCAAUUAUUGACCGGUCCUCGCCUUAACCCAACAAGGCCUACAGUCCAUUCCACACUUAACUGACACUAACCAUGUUCCUUUUCUGCUGCCAUGCCAGCUUCCCAAAGUGAAUCUUUUGUCAUAUUUCAAACAUACAGAAGAACAAACAGUAUUUUUU